rnacentral:rRNA from 1 species
AUUGAACGCUGGCGGCAUGCCUUACACAUGCAAGUCGAACGGCAGCGGACCUUCGGGUGCCGGCGAGUGGCGAACGGGUGAGUAAAGUAUCGGAACGUACCUUUCAGUGGGGGAUAACGUAGCGAAAGUUACGCUAAUACCGCAUAUUCUGUGAGCAGGAAAGCAGGGGAUCGCAAGACCUUGCGCUGAUUGAGCGGCCGAUAUCAGAUUAGCUAGUUGGUGAGGUAAAGGCUCACCAAGGCGACGAUCUGUAGCGGGUCUGAGAGGAUGAUCCGCCACACUGGAACUGAGACACGGUCCAGACUCCUACGGGAGGCAGCAGUGGGGAAUAUUGCACAAUGGGCGAAAGCCUGAUGCAGCAACGCCGCGUGAGGGAUGACGGCCUUCGGGUUGUAAACCUCUUUCAGUAGGGAAGAAGCGAAAGUGACGGUACCUACAGAAGAAGCACCGGCUAACUACGUG